GAUGAACGCUAGCUACAGGCUAAACACAUGCAAGUCGAGGGGUCUUUUGGAGCUUGCUUUAAAAGACGACCGGCGCACGGGUGAGUAACGCGUAUCCAACCUGCCCUUCAUAUUGGGAUAGCCUUCCGAAAGGAAGAUUAAUACCGAAUAACAUGAUAGAGUUGCCUGAUUUUAUCAUGAAAGCUCCGGCGAUGAAGGAUGGGGAUGCGUUCCAUUAGGUAGUAGGCGGGGUAACGGCCCACCUAGCCGACGAUGGAUAGGGGUUCUGAGAGGAAGGUCCCCCACACUGGAACUGAGACACGGUCCAGACUCCUACGGGAGGCAGCAGUGAGGAAUAUUGGUCAAUGGGCGCAAGCCUGAACCAGCCAAGUAGCGUGAAGGAUGACUGCCCUAUGGGUUGUAAACUUCUUUUAUACGGGAACAAACCCCGGUACGCGUACCGGAUUGCGUGUACCGUAUGAAUAAGCAUCGGCUAACUCCGUGCCAGCCGCCGCGGUAAUAC
rnacentral:rRNA from 1 species